UGGAGAUGCCUGGUCUUCCUUGGAUUAAUCUUCUACCAAGUUCUCCCAUCGACUGGACGCAGAAGACAGCAAGUUGGUACUGUACCUGGAAAAUGUAUGCUCAAAGAUAGUGUGUACCAUGACUGACUAGUCCAUUCCUUCUCUGUGAGACAGGACCAAUAGCCACAUCAGUAGAUACAGUACUUAAGAGUUGAAUCAGCUUCACGUGAACCAACUUGAGAACUGACAAGAUACCAGCUGAAAUGCAUUUUGUAUUCACGACGAUCCAAGGAGUUUUUCCACCUAUGCUGCCACCCUCUCAGAGGCACACUUGAGAAGUUUUGAAAAGGAUCAGAAAAUAAGAUCAACAAUGCUUGACUGGGACAUGGAAGAUUUCCAUGAGUUUCUGACCAUAUCCUGCAGUAGGGUCAUGAGAUACUUUGAAGACAAAUUGUACAAUAAAGGAAUAUUGUACAGUUUCAGGAAUAUGAGCCCAGAUGGAAAACAGGCCAACAAAAUAAUCUUUUAUGUAUCUGGAGGAAGAGGAAGCUGACCCAAUCCCAGCCUCUACAUGUAGCCAGGGGAAAGAAUCACUUUGAGGCCAGCAUCUCAGACACAGGCAAUGGGGAUAACUCUCACCACCACCCCUAUCCUGGGGUGAGCAUUGUACAUACACACAGCUGUAGCAAUAAGUCAGGUGCUAAGUGAGGUGACACUCAGCUAUAAUUGAAUAUAGGUUUUAUAAAUGGAUCUAGGACAGAAGAUCUUUAAUGUCUUCAUCUCACAGGGAAAGCCAGGAACUACUCAGACACAACUCCCUGUGUCCCAUUCUCUUCCAUGAGGCACACACAGUGGCCAUGGACAAGAGCCAA
rnacentral:lncRNA from 1 species